rnacentral:misc_RNA from 1 species
CAAAUUCUCUUCCCAAUCAUCAAGCAUGCUAUUUGCCUCAAGCUGGAUAGGCUGUUGAGAUAUAGCACCAGGAAGACCACUACCAGUUGUGGCGUCAUUGGAAAAUACAUCAGCUGGUUGCCCUGCAAUUAGCAGGCAUAAUGUCCGCAAAGGUGAUCCUGCUACCAGCUGGCGAAGUGCCAUUUGCUUCACAGUAUCAACAUAGAACUGAUCACCGAGCUGUGAUGCAAGAACAAGCGCAGGUCCCCACAACUGGCCUACCUGUGCACGCUGUAAAGCCUCCUUUUUUCUACCAGAAACCAGAAGAUUUUGUACCUCAGAAGCAGUUGCCUGAAUUUGUCCUUCAGAUGGCACACUCUGCAAGCAGUGGCUGAAAGCACCAUAAUCACUGAAUUGUGCGCCAUUUCUCCUGGCAGAUGCAAAAAGUUUUGCAACUGCGGAUUCUGGAGCAUCACUCUCCUUCAAAGAAGCAUCAAUGCCAAAAGGAGAUCGAAGUUUUCCAUAAUGUUGACAAGCAAUUUUAAGCAAAGAGAGAAGCAACUUCAGUACUCCGCCUUUUCUAUAAUCAAUGUCAGGUGAUUCACAAUUAGCAAUUCUAUCAUCAAUCCACUUAUUCAACUCUUUACUUCCAACAUUGCCUCCCAACAGUGGACCUGGAAAGGAUUGUUGGCAGAGAGCACGAAAAUAAUUACAUGUGCUCCCUGCAAUAUUUAUAGCAUUGUUGGUAUUUCCUGUGAUAACCUCCAUCAAAUUCAGAACAGACAUUGAGCCUCCUAUAAGUUCCUGACUUGCGAAUGAUGCAUUCCCCAGAGAACUUGAACUGCCAUUUUUCAUUACUAUGAGCUUUCCACCAAAUCCAAACGUAACCAA